AUCAUUUGUCUGUUGCCACACAAUAAAAUGGCAGAACUGGAAAUUUAAUCUUCCUUCCCAUAUCCACAGUGCUAAAGUAUGAGGGCUGCUCUGAAAGUAGUGCCUCCUAUUUUAUAAUGUUGGCCCAUGAUGUCAGAGGCAGAUGUUGGUGACACGGCAGUAGAGGCUGAACCUUCCCACUAAUAUUCUGUUACAUUUUGUUGCAAUGCGACAGAUGGCAGCAGAGGUGCAGUCUGACAAAUGAUGUCUGACAUGGGAGUGCGCACGAAGCAAAGGACUGAAAAGACACAAAGGUGUACAAGGAGAGGCUGGACUGUGCUCGAAUUUGUGAUCAUCCAGAUACAUGCAAACAUCUCAAGAAGAAAUCCAGAUUAUAAAUCCUGUGUAAACAUCUCACUUGCCAAUGUGGAGUCCCAGGAGCAUGCAUAUAUUGUUUUUAGUGUGACCGCACCGUGCAGCUGUAUGGAUCCUUCAGGGAUAGGAAGGAUGGGAAUUAUCUGACAUGUUUUCCAGAUACUUCAACAAGUUUGAAGUUCUUCAGACCUAAGAGCACCCAGUCUGUAAGUUAAUCAUUGAUAUGUCCUCAGCUGUUGGUGAAGACAAAGAUCUGUUGUAAAUUAAAGCACUUUUUGCCAUAAGUUUACGUGACUUUACUGCUAUCCAUACCCUCUCUCAUGUGAGUCCUCAUACUGAGCUUUGGAGUGUGCUUUUUGUGUAUGUUUGUAACUGACUCUUUCAUUCGACUUUCAUUAUAUCUGACAGGGAAAUAAAUGACCAUUUUAUCAAAGUCUGUGAAUUCA
rnacentral:lncRNA from 1 species